UAAUUUAAUAGUAUACUCCUUCGUAUAACAUCGAUAAUAUGGAUCGAAAGUUUCUACCAAAUCACCGUAAAUGAUUUGACUAUGAAGGCGGAGCAUAUUCCU
rnacentral:ncRNA from 2 species